AGUAGGAAGAAUUUGAGAAAAAGAUAACUUCUGUCUAAGAAAGACAGAAGGGGGUCUGGAAAGUGGGUAGCCCGCCAACCCCACUACUUCUCAAGGGUGUUUGAUUGAGCAAAGCCACCAGGUGAGACAAGUUCAAGGUGGGACAAAACUAUAGUCAACUAAAUAUACUCACUUAGGUAAUGACCCAGCUGUCAUCCCCUAAGAGUACAAGAUUAGUCGCUUAGGCAAUAUUGAUUAAAUGAUCAAAUGGAAUGAUCCGGGAAGGAAUGGGUUAGGGAGGUUUUGGUCCUCACUGGAGGUGUUUGAUGCCUAUUUAGAACAUCAGUCACUACUGUUUAUCCUAGGGGAAGUAUGUGAGUGUGGUAGUUCCUCUUUUUGUAUCCCAGCCUCUAGUAAAUGGGCCUCAAUUGUCUUCUGUAUUGACUCCCUUUCUAACUGUCUAUAACAUAUCCAACUAACUUAGCUGUGUACAGUAGUGUCAGAUGACCAACAUGCAUGGUCCUCUGAGAGACAUUGUUGCUUAGGGACUUUUGGAGCCCUAGGAGAGAAAGCUUGCAGUUACCUUGGCUGGAAUUCCAAAGACUUGGUCAGGAAUUUCAAGGAUGAUUAUAAUUACAAGGGUUGGAUGGGCAAGGAAAAGGCACUGGAACCCUGGAUUCCUUUUAGCUUUGUUAGUUACAAGAUCAGCCUUGCACUGUUUCUAUUUUAAUAUGGAAAGUAAUCUAAGAAAUUUGGUUCUUUAGUUUCGCUGGAACGUACCUGCUCCUGCUAGGAAGGUGCUGUAUCUGAUAGGCAGCCGGACACUUAUGCUCCAAAACUGCCUGGAGAUGAAGUCACCUUUCUUCCAGGAGAAAACCGUGUUGCCUUUGCUUGAUGGUCCCACUUCUUGUUAACCAGUCCCAGAUGACUGGUUUUUGCUGACUAGAAUACCAAAUCAGGCCGAGGAGCUCGUGAAAUAAAAGUGCGGAAAACAAACCGAGGAUCUCAGCGGCAGCAGGAGGAGGAGGAGGCGGAGGUGGAGGCGUAGCUGGAGUCGGGCCGGCGCUGCGGGGCUGCAGAGUUCCCUGCUGCUCCCAUUCAUUAAGCGACCAGCGUCGGAGGAAGGUGGCCGGGACCCCGCGUUGCCCACUCGCUCUCGCGGACAGACGCCCGCCAGCCCCUCGCGUCCCGGGCAGCAGCGCGCCGCAAAAGUUUCUGCUCGGGGUCCGAAGCUCUUCCCCUUGGACUUUCGAACGAUCUGGGGUGGAGAGAGGAGAGAGGCGCCCAGCGGGGAGCAGAAGACAGCGCCGGCUGCAGCUUUACGCAGGCGGCCGGAGUGUGCGGCUGCUGUCGCGGGCGGAGGCAAGGGCCGCAGCCAGCGCCAUGCAAAACUACAAGUACGACAAGGCGAUCGUGCCCGAGAG